CCUACGGGGUGCAGCAGUGGGGAAUAUUGCACAAUGGGGGAAACCCUGAUGCAGCGACGCCGCGUGAAGGAAGAAGUAUUUCGGUAUGUAAACUUCUAUCAGCAGGGAAGAAAAUGACGGUACCUGACUAAGAAUCCCCGGCUAACUACGUGCCAGCAGCCGCGGUAAUACGUAGGGGGCAAGCGUUAUCCGGAUUUACUGGGUGUAAAGGGAGCGUAGGCGGUUUAGCAAGUCAGAAGUGAAAGCCCGGGGCUCAACCCCGGGACUGCUUGUGAAACUGUUGAACUAGAGUGCAGGAGAGGUAAGUGGAAUUCGUAGUGUAGCGGUGAAAUGCGUAGAUAUUAGGAAGAACACCAGUGGCGAAGGCGGCUUACUGGACUGUAAAUGACGCUGAGGCUCGAAAGCGUGGGGAGCAAACAGGAUUAGAUACCCCUGUAGUC
rnacentral:rRNA from 1 species